AUCGAACGCUGGCGGCAGGCCUAACACAUGCAAGUCGAGCGGAUGAAGGGAGCUUGCUCCUGGAUUCAGCGGCGGACGGGUGAGUAAUGCCUAGGAAUCUGCCUGGUAGUGGGGGAUAACGUCCGGAAACGGGCGCUAAUACCGCAUACGUCCUGAGGGAGAAAGUGGGGGAUCUUCGGACCUCACGCUAUCAGAUGAGCCUAGGUCGGAGUAGCUAGUUGGUGGGGUAAAGGCCUACCAAGGCGACGAUCCGUAACUGGUCUGAGAGGAUGACCAGUCACGCUGGACCUGAGACCCGGUCCAGGCCCCUGCGGGAGGCCGCAGUGGGGAAUAUUGGACAAUGGGCGAAAGCCUGAUCCAGCCAUGCCGCGUGUGUGAAGAAGGUCUUCGGCUUGUAAAGCACUUUAAGUUGGGAGGAAGGGCAGUAAGUUAAUACCUUGCUGUUUUGACGUUACCGACAGAGUAAGCACCGGCUACCUUCGU
rnacentral:rRNA from 1 species